CCUACGGGUGGCAGCAGUCGAGAAUCAUUCACAAUGGGGGAAACCCUGAUGGUGCGACGCCGCGUGGGGGAAUGAAGGUCUUCGGAUUGUAAACCCCUGUCAUGUGGGAGCAAAUUAAAAAGAUAGUACCACAAGAGGAAGAGACGGCUAACUCUGUGCCAGCAGCCGCGGUAAUACAGAGGUCUCAAGCGUUGUUCGGAAUCACUGGGCGUAAAGCGUGCGUAGGCUGUUUCGUAAGUCGUGUGUGAAAGGCGCGGGCUCAACCCGCGGACGGCACAUGAUACUGCGAGACUGGAGUAAGGGAGGGGGAACCGGAAUUCUCGGUGUAGCAGUGAAAUGCGUAGAUAUCGAGAGGAACACUCGUGGCGAAGGCGGGUUCCUGGACAUUAACUGACGCUGAGGCACGAAGGCCAGGGGAGCGAAAGGGAUUAGAUACCCUUGUAGUC
rnacentral:rRNA from 1 species